rnacentral:rRNA from 1 species
UACGAACUGUGCAACCGUUAUUCGGAAUCACUGGGCUUAAAGGGUGCGUAGGCGGCUUGUUAAGUAGGGUGUGAAAUCCCAAGGCUCAACCUUGGAAUUGCGCCCUAAACUGGCGAGCUGGAGUGAGAUAGGGGUGUGUGGAACUUCCAGUGGAGCGGUGAAAUGUGUUGAUAUUGGAAGGAACGCCAGUGGCGAAAGCGACACACUGGGUCUCAACUGACGCUGAGGCACGAAAGCCAGGGGAGCAAACGGG